GAUGAACGCUGGCGGCGUGCCUAAUACAUGCAAGUCGAGCGAACGGACGAGAAGCUUGCUUCUCUGAUGUUAGCGGCGGACGGGUGAGUAACACGUGGAUAACCUACCUAUAAGACUGGGAUAACUUCGGGAAACCGUAGCUAAUACCGGAUAAUAUUUUGAACCGCAUGGUUCAAAAGUGAAAGACGGUCUUGCUGUCACUUAUAGAUGGAUCCGCGCUGCAUUAGCUAGUUGGUAAGGUAACGGCUUACCAAGGCAACGAUGCAUAGCCGACCUGAGAGGGUGAUUCGCCACACUGGAACUGAGACACGGUCCAGACUCCUACGGGAGGCAGCAGUAGGGAAUCUUCCGCGAUGGGCGAAAGCCUAACGGAGCAACGCCGCGUGAGUGAUGAAGGUCUUCGGAUCGUAAAACUCUGUUAUUAGGGAAGAACAUAUGUGUAAGUAACUGUGCACAUCUUGACGGUACCUAAUCAGAAAGCCACGGCUAACUACGUG
rnacentral:rRNA from 1 species